CUGCUGCCUCCCGUAGGAGUUUGGUCCGUGUCUCAGUACCAAUGUGGGGGACCUUCCUCUCAGAACCCCUAUCCAUCGUCGGUUUGGUGGGCCGUUACCCCGCCAACUGCCUAAUGGAACGCAUGCCUAUCUAUCAGCGAUGAAUCUUUAGCAAAUAUCCCCAUGCGGGGCCCCUGCUUCAUGCGGUAUUAGUCCGACUUUCGCCGGGUUAGUCCCCCUCCUGAUAGGCAAGUUGCAUACGCGUUACUCACCCGUGCGCCGGUCCG
rnacentral:rRNA from 1 species